rnacentral:misc_RNA from 1 species
GAUGAAGAACGCAGCGAAAUGCGAUAAGCAAUGUGAAUUGCAGAAUUCAGUGAAUCAUCGAAUCUUUGAACGCACAUUGCGCCCGCCAGUAUUCUGGCGGGCAUGCCUGUUCGAGCGUCAUUUCAACCAUCAAGCCCCAGGCUUGUGUUGGGGACCUGCGGCUGCCGCAGGCCCUGAAAACCAGUGGCGGGCUCGCUGUCACACCGGGCGUAGUAGAUUUUAUCUCGCUCAGGGCGUGCUGCGGGUUCCGGCCGUUAAAAAGCCUUUUUUACCCAAGGUUGGCCUCGGAUCAGGUAGGAAGACCCGCUGAACUUAAGCAUAUCAAUAAGCGGAGGA